rnacentral:rRNA from 1 species
CCUACGGGAGGCUGCAGUGGGGAAUAUUGCACAAUGGGCGCAAGCCUGAUGCAGCCAUGCCGCGUGUGUGGAGAAGGCCUUCGGGUUGUAAAGCACUUUCAGCGGGGAGGAAGGCGUUAAGGUUAAUAACCUUGUCGAUUGACGUUACCCGCAGAAGAAGCACCGGCUAACUCCGUGCCAGCAGCCGCGGUAAUACGGAGGGUGCAAGCGUUAAUCGGAAUUACUGGGCGUAAAGCGCACGCAGGCGGUCUGUCAAGUCGGAUGUGAAAUCCCCGGGCUCAACCUGGGAACUGCAUUCGAAACUGGCAGGCUAGAGUCUUGUAGAGGGGGGUAGAACUCCAGGUGUAGCGGUGAAAUGCGUAGAGAUCUGGAGGAAUACCGGUGGCGAAGGCGGCCCCCUGGACAAAGACUGACGCUCAGGUGCGAAAGCGUGGGGAGCAAACAGGAUUAGAUACCCCGGUAGUC